AUCGACGAGCACGACUACCAGACGAAGAUGCGCAGCGUGAAUCGCUUCCUCGGCGACGGGGACAAGGUGAAGCUGACCAUGCGCUUCCGCGGUCGUGAGAUGGCGCACCAGGAGAUCGGCCUGAACGUGCUGAAGCGCGUGCAGGAGGAGGUCGCCGAGAUCGCCAAGGUGGAGGCGCAUCCCAAGCUCGAAGGCCGGCAGAUGAUCAUGGUGGUCGCGCCGCGUUAGAGCACGGUCAGACUAUCUGAUCGCGUUUUGCUCCAAACGCCGCUGACACCCCCAGGAAACGCCGCAGUAAGGAAGCCGACAGUCUCAGCCGA
rnacentral:misc_RNA from 1 species